UCUCUUCCUUACCUCAUGGGUUUUCUUUUGAGUAUAAUAUUGCAUAGAUUUAUUGGAGGAUUUUUGAGAUUGAAAUCCGGCCACUAUUCACAAAUUGGGGUUUACUGUUUUCUUAAUUGUUGAGGUAGUUCUUGUUGUUUUCUGGCUUGGUGGUAGUUGAAAGAAGUGUUAAGGAUGUUGAGAUGAAGCCGCUGUCAAAAUUUGGUGACCAUCGGAGGAGUUGGCCGACGAGUGAACAGUGCCGCCGAGUGAACAGUGCGGGUGACGUAUCAAAUUACUACUGGGUGAAGGAGCUCUUAUGCGUGGUUGCCUAAAUAGUACUUUUGCAGGCUAGAUUAGUUGAGGUCGGGCGUACAUGGAGUCGAGGUAUAGCCAACAGCAUUGCUUCCGCGUACUCAUUCUAUUUCUGUUUUAUGUGAUACCUAAUAGAUUAAUAUUGCUCUGAUAAGCUGUGGGAUUAAUAUUGUUUUUGGGUUGAGACUGUUAUUUGAGAAAUUGAAGUUGUGAUUUGGGGAGCAGGUGGCUCCAGGAGUAUAAGGUUGGUUUGUUUGAAGUACUUUGUGUCUUUCAACAGGUUUUGGGUAGUCCAUUUUAGGGGAAGUUCUGCCAAAUUUUUUGGUAGAAUUUCUUCUAAGGUGGGCCCCGCAGGGCCACUUCGGAUUUCAGGGGGAAAUUCGGGGCGGGUCCUGUCACGGGGUGCCGGGAAGGCAUGAGCGGGAAGCUCGAGGUGCCGGGAAGGCAUGAGCGGAAAGCUCGUGGGUUGCCGGGAAGGCAUGAGCGGGAAGCUCAAGGGUGCCGCGAAGGCAUGAGCGGUAAGCUCGUGAGCGGAAGCUCGUGGUGUCGGGAAGGCAUGAACGGGAAGCUCAAGGGUGCCGUGAAGGCAUGAGCGGUAAGCUCGUGAGCGGAAGCUCGUGGUGCCGGGAAGGCAUGAGCGGUAAGCUCGUGGUGCCUGGAAGGCGUGAGCGGUGAGCUUGUGUGCGGAAGCUCGUGGUGCCGGGAAGGCGUGAGUGGUGAGCUCGUGAGCGAAAGCUCAUGGUGCCGGGAAAGCGUGACCGGUGAGCUCGGCGGUGCCGGGAAUGCACGAGGGCGAAAAGCUCGGCGGUGCCGUUGAGGCACGAGCGCGAAAAGUUCGGCGGUGCCGCUGAGGCACAAGCGUGAAAGCUCGGCGGUUGCCGCUGAGGCGAGAGCGUGAAAGCUCGGCGGCGCAUUAACGGGUAGCUCGAGGUGAUGCCCUGAGGCAUGAGCGUGACCGUUGCUAAUUAUGCUGGGCUGUAUGUACAAGUCCCCGAAGUCCCCAGUCAAGGAGGGUGUUCUUGCGGGUUGAUACCAAAGCGUAGCUUUGUGCCGUAUAUCAAGCAUAAUUAGUGCGAGUGCGUUGUCCAUCUAGAAUUGGUUGGAGCGAACGCUUUUGCCCUUUCGGGUGGGCCCCUGCCAGGCCCUGCGAGGAGUCCCCCACUCCUGGCUAUAGACCUCCGGAUGGUCGGAAAAUUGUUUGAUGAGGGGAGCUGCGUGGAGCAGAGGGUGUUGGGUAGCGAGCCCAAUCUUUGGCACCUAAGUGUCGGGGUUAACUGCAGGAUCAUUGUCAUUAUGAGGCGUUGCCUUACCGCUUGGCGGUUGAAUGAAAAAUGAUUAACACAUAGAGCAAGUAAUAAUAUUUUGUUUGAGUGUCCCAUGUUUAUUUAAUUGAGUUGCAAUUAAAAAUAUAAGCAUGGCAUAUGUGUAUAGCAUGUACUUGUAGUAAAGUUGCUAAUAACAUUUUUGCAUUUUUGUAGAUAUGCUAAAGGAUCAUUGAGAUCGGUAUGUGAAGCAUGGCAUAUCUAGUAUGUGAGAUCUAGAAAGUGUUGCCAAAUCUAUGAAAUGUUGUAGGCAUGCUAAAAAGUUAUGGAAGCAUGUAAAGAUAUAUCAAGUGUGAUAUUCUAUAAGCAUGCUUAGAAGUAGUAAAAGCAUGUGAUUGGAAUGACAUUAGCUCAAUUUGAAAUAGCGUAAAAGAUAAGAUAUAGUUACUUAUCUUGUGCCGAUUUGGAGGCUAGCGGAGUUAUCCGAGCAUGACGCUCCAUUGCUCCGGCAAAGUACCUUAGUCGAAAGGUGAUGAUUUUGCUAAUUGGAAAUGUGAUCGGUGAUUAUAUCUCCUUAACAUAAGAUAGAUAAUUAGCAUAUAAAUUUGUAAAAUUAUUAAAAUGCUUGUAAAAUGUAUUUAUCGGAUAACCAAGUGAAUUAUGACUAUGAUA